rnacentral:rRNA from 1 species
UNCAUGUGUAGCGGUGAAAUGCGUAGAUAUAUGGAGGANCACCAGUGGCGAAAGCGGCUCUCUGGUCUGUCACUGACGCUGAGGCUCGAAAGCGUGGGUAGCGAACAGGAUUAGAUACCCUGGUAGUCCACGCCGUAAACGAUGAGUGCUAGGUGUUAGGCCCUUUCCGGGGCUUAGUGCCGGAGCUAACGCAAUAAGCACUCCGCCUGGGGAGUACGACCGCAAGGUUGAAACUCAAAGGAAUUGAUGGGGGCCCGCACAAGCGGUGGAGCAUGUGGUUUAAUUCGAAGCAACGCGAAGAACCUUACCAGGUCUUGACAUCCCGAUGCUAUUCUUAGAGAUAGGAAGUUACUUCGGUACAUCGGAGACAGGUGGUGCAUGGUUGUCGUCAGCUCGUGUCGUGAGAUGUUGGGUUAAGUCCCGCAACGAGCGCAACCCUUAUUGUUAGUUGCCAUCAUUAAGUUGGGCACUCUAGCGAGACUGCCGGUAAUAAACCGGAGGAAGGUGGGGAUGACGUCAAAUCAUCAUGCCCCUUAUGACCUGGGCUACACACGUGCUACAAUGGUCGGUACAACGAGUUGCGAGCCGGUGACGGCAAGCUAAUCUCUGAAAGCCGAUCUCAGUUCGGAUUGGAGGCUGCAACUCGCCUCCAUGAAGUCGGAAUCGCUAGUAAUCGCGGAUCAGCACGCCGCGGUGAAUACGUUCCCGGGCCUUGUACACACCGCCCGUCACACCACGAGAGUUUGUAACACCCGA